UCUUCAUUUAUCCAGAAAUUUCCACUGUUAUGUUGUUUAUUUUUUCUCAUUGUGUUUGCACAAAUUAUUAACUUUGUUCUCUUGCAAGACAACGCUAUAUAAAGGGACUGCCAAUAAGUGCCUACAAACCUCAUCUCAAGCACACGUUUUGGUAAAGAUGCAGCGCUCCUUUCUGUUUGCACUCUUGACAGUAGUGCUGAGUCUCCUAGUUGGGAUGGCUUUCUCCGAUGAAAUAUCCAUUGGUAACGCGACCGUAAAUAUAAAUUGUAAUCGAACAACGGGGUCCUGCAUAUACCCACAAGCGUGCCUGUGUCCGAUGCCGACGGAGGACUUAGAACACGGACAUCCAAUCGUUACUUACAACAAUGCAACGAAUCAAUGCGUUUCCAUCACAGCAAAGAACGACACUUGUAACAGCUUUGGUCGCGAAAGCGCUUGCAGCUUCUUCUGUGGCGAUGCUUCAGAUUACGAAGAUUACUAGAUAGCGCCCGACAGGGCAACAGCAAAGACAGCUGCAGCUUCGCAGAACGUACUUGAAUAAAAAUUUCAUUUCACGAA